UUAAAGUAGACAAGGAACCAAGUCACUCGCAUAGUAAAAGUAUGGAGAAGAUAAUUUGGUUUCUAAUAAUAUUGCUAUGGACACACUGACAUCAUUAUGUUUCGAUGGUGUCGCUUAUCUUUUGGCUGUCCAAUUAUGCCACUUUUGUGUGAAUGCGAUUAAUGCAAAUCGAUAAAUUAAACUCAUUAAUAGUUUGAUUGACUGGCACUCAAGCACUCAAACAUAUGUGUAGAUCGAGAAUACACGAUUAUUGAUGGGGUUAAAUCUUACAAAUUGUCUACGAGUUAUCACCGAAGUCGGAUAAAGUCAAUUUAUAUGGUUUGUUGUUGUUGCUGUAAUUGAUGCGAACAGAUUAAACAAAUAUUUUGGCAUAAAACUCAGCUCAAGUCAGCUAAGCUAGUGACAAAAUAACAGUCAUUAAUUGUGGUGUUAUACAAUGAGUGUAGAGUCUGUACACACAUAUGGAUCUACAUAUGUACUUUUCAAUUUAUAUGGCAAAUACAACUCCGAGUAUGCUUUUGCUGCGUGCUCUUACUAUACGAGUAGAAAAACAAUGUUGUUCACCUCAAAAGCCGCCAAGAACGUCAACAACUGAAACUUGGAUCGCACGUACACAGCAAAGUUGCUCGCAUGGCAUGGAGAGGGGUGGAAUGCUGUAGAAAGGGCGGCUGGAUUGUGUUCUUAAACGCUAUGAGGAGAGUCGAAGUCGAUGGCGAACGCUUGUAGUAGUAAUAUGCAACACCUAUGCUGGCCAUGCGCUUGAUAAAGGCACUGAAACUGAUGAAACUAAUGUUGAUUCAACUUCGACGACGCAAAUCAAAAA